UAGGGAAUCUUCCACAAUGGACGAAAGUCUGAUGGAGCAACGCCGCGUGAGUGAAGAAGGUUUUCGGAUCGUAAAGCUCUGUUGUUGGUGAAGAAGGAUAGAGGCAGUAACUGGUCUUUAUUUGACGGUGAUCAACCAGAAAGUCACGGCUAACUACGUGCCAC
rnacentral:rRNA from 1 species